UCUCCAGAGAUUCUAAAUCGAGUGGCCAAAGUGAACGCAGCAAGGAAUUAAGACACAGAGUGAAUGAGAGCCCAUUACAAGCGGUAAAUUUUAUUAUGGGAUAACAGCACAUAAAGCACAUCUAAAAUCGAUGUGUCCAAUGCACUUUUAAUAAAGGUAAUAUUAAAGGUACA
rnacentral:lncRNA from 1 species